rnacentral:rRNA from 1 species
GAUGAACGCUAGCGGUGUGCCUAAUGCAUGCAAGUCGAACGGGAUCCUUUGGACUCGUCUGAAGGUGAGAGUGGCGAACGGGUGAGUAUCGCGUUGGUGACCUGCCCCAGAGAGGGGGACAACCAGUGGAAACGCUGGCUAAUACCCCGGAUGUCUUUGUGCUUAGAAAGCAAAGACUAAAAGCUCCGGCGCUCUGGGAGGGGCCUGCGUCCCAUCAGCUAGUUGGUAGGGUAAUGGCUUACCAAGGCAAAGACGGGUAGGGGGCGUGAGAGCGUGGCCCCCCACACUGGUACUGAAACACGGACCAGAUACCUACGGGUAGCAGCAGCAAGGAAUAUUGCCCAAUGGACGAAAGUCUGAGGCAGCAACACCGCGUGGAGGACGAAGGCUUUCGGGUCGUAAACUCCUUUUCUAGGGGAAGAGAAAGGACGGUACCCUAGGAAUAAGGCCCGGCUAACUACGUG